CGCAAAGCAUCGAUCUGGAGAGCGGAGCGUAAUUUUUGGAUAACUGUGUGUUGCGUCAUGACAUAUUGGUGCCUAUAUCGUCACACUGCUUUGCGGA
rnacentral:ribozyme from 1 species